AGAUGGCGACCGGGGCACGGGUGAGUAACACGUAUCCAACCUGCCGAUAACUCGGGGAUAGCCUUUCGAAAGAAAGAUUAAUACCCGAUGGUAUAAUCAGACCGCAUGGUUUGAUUAUUAAAGAAUUUCGGUUAUCGAUGGGGAUGCGUUCCAUUAGGCAGUUGGUGAGGUAACGGCUCACCAAACCUUCGAUGGAUAGGGGUUCUGAGAGGAAGGUCCCCCACAUUGGAACUGAGACACGGUCCAA
rnacentral:rRNA from 1 species